rnacentral:lncRNA from 1 species
GUGAACAUUCAAAAUUCAAUGGCUAUUGUUUUUCAAUAAGAUCAAACGGUUUAAAUUAAGAGAUUUAUUGAGAUCUAUGGUGCACCAAGUGUAAUGUUAGUCCACCUAAUACAUUUUGUGUUAAAAACUAACGGAAGGGACCAUUGUGAUUAACAGAUAUGUCUUUAAGGGACCAAUUCAGACUUUUUUUUUCUUUAAGGGACCAUUAUGAAACCUAAAAUGUCUUUAAGGGACCAUUUAACUAAUUUAGCCU